AGUGAACGCUGGCGGUAGGCCUAACACAUGCAAGUCGAACGGCAGCACAGUAAGAGCUUGCUCUUACGGGUGGCGAGUGGCGGACGGGUGAGGAAUACAUCGGAAUCUACUUUUUCGUGGGGGAUAACGUAGGGACACUUACGCUAAUACCGCAUACGACCUACGGGUGAAAGCAGGGGAUCUUCGGACCUUGCGCGAUUGAAUGAGCCGAUGUCGGAUUAGCUAGUUGGCGGGGUAAAGGCCCACCAAGGCGACGAUCCGUAGCUGGUCUGAGAGGAUGAUCAGCCACACUGGAACUGAGACACGGUCCAGACUCCUACGGGAGGCAGCAGUGGGGAAUAUUGGACAAUGGGCGCAAGCCUGAUCCAGCCAUACCGCGUGGGUGAAGAAGGCCUUCGGGUUGUAAAGCCCUUUUGUUAGGAAAGAAAAGCAGCAGGUUAAUACCCCGCUGUUCUGACGGUACCCAAAGAAUAAGCACCGGCUAACUUCGUG
rnacentral:rRNA from 1 species